rnacentral:rRNA from 1 species
AGAGUUUGAUCCUGGCUCAGAUUGAACGCUGGCGGCAUGCCUAACACAUGCAAGUCGAACGGAAACGACAGGAGCUUGCUCCUGGGCGUCGAGUGGCGGACGGGUGAGUAAUGCAUAGGAAUCUGCCCAUGUAGUGGGGGACAACCUGGGGAAACUCAGGCUAAUACCGCAUGAGCCCUUCGGGGGAAAGCAGGGGAUCUUCGGACCUUGCGCUAUUGGAUGAGCCUAUGUCUGAUUAGCUUGUUGGUGGGGUAACGGCCUACCAAGGCGACGAUCAGUAGCUGGUCUGAGAGGACGAUCAGCCACACUGGGACUGAGACACGGCCCAGACUCCUACGGGAGGCAGCAGUGGGGAAUAUUGGACAAUGGGCGAAAGCCUGAUCCAGCAAUGCCGCGUGUGUGAAGAAGGCCUGCGGGUUGUAAAGCACUUUCAGUAGAGAAGAAAAGCUUAGGGUUAAUACCCCUGGGUAUAAUGACGGUACCUACAGAAGAAGCACCGGCUAACUCUGUGCCAGCAGCCGCGGUAAUACAGAGGGUGCAAGCGUUAAUCGGAAUUACUGGGCGUAAAGCGCGCGUAGGCGGUUUGUUAAGUCGGAUGUGAAAGCCCCGGGCUCAACCUGGGAACUGCAUUCGAUACUGGCAGGCUGGAGUAUGGUAGAGGGAAGUGGAAUUCCGGGUGUAGCGGUGAAAUGCGUAGAUAUCCGGAGGAACAUCAGUGGCGAAGGCGACUUGCUGGUCUAAUACUGACGCUGAGGAGCGAAAGCGUGGGGAGCAAACGGGAUUAGAUACCCCGGUAGAGUCCACGCCGUGAACGAUGGAUGCUAGCCGUUGGAUAGUAUACCGUUCGGUGACGCAGCUAACGCAUUAAGCAUCCCGCCUGGGGGGUACGGUCGCAAGACUAAAACUUAAAGGAAUUGACGGGGGCCCGCACAAAAGCGGUGGAGCAUGUGGCUUUACCCAGGGCCCUGGACAUCCCGCGAUCGCGAAUUCCAGAGAUGGAUUUCUUCAGCUAGGCUGGAUCGGAUACAGGUGCUGCAUGGCUGUCGUCAGCUCGUGUCGUGAGAUGUUGGGUUAAGUCCCGCAACGGGCGCAACCCUCGCCUUUAGUUGCCAGCAUUUAGUUGGGCACUCUAGAGGAACUGCCGGUGAUAAGCCGGAGGAAGGUGGGGAUGACGUCAAGUCCUCAUGGCCCUUAUGGGCUGGGCUACACACGUGCUACAAUGGCGGUAACAGAGGGCCGCGACAUCGCAAGAUGAAGCAAAUCCCUAAAAACCGUCUCAGUUCGGAUUGUUCUCUGCAACUCGAGAGCAUGAAGUUGGAAUCGCUAGUAAUCGCAGAUCAGCAUGCUGCGGUGAAUACGUUCCCGGGCCUUGUACACCACCGCCCGUCACAUCAUGGGAGUUGGUUCUGCCCGAAGGUGGUGCGCUAACCAGUUUACUGGAAGCAGCCAACCACGGUAGGAUCAGCGACUGGGAUGAAGUCGUAACAAGGUAGCC